AAAACCAGAUUGUUAAUCACCUACACUGACAACAACAGGCUCACCCAGCCAAGUAAAGGUUGUUUUGCAACAGCUACAACACUACAACUUUGGAUAGUGAGAAUAUCACAAAUUCUAUUGUUACAGGACAACUCCAAGAAAUUGAUACUUGUCAUUCUAAGGGCGGAUGAACAAUAGUUAACAAUUACCAAUUUACCAAUGAGGUUACAGUUCAAGCAGGCAAAGAUUUGCAAUACUCAAACCACCAAAUUGAAUGAUAACAAAUAAAAAUGUCAAUCAUUAAUUUCAAAGAUGCAUCAAAUAAGAACA